UUUCGAAGGUCCCAGCAGGGAGGAAGCUCCAUUAGCGAGGCCUCUCUAACACUAAUUUAUACCUUCGUAGAGUUAUUAUUUGUCGAACUGAAAGACACUACAAAUCAUAUUCACUAUUGGUGUGUUUAGAAAUCUGUCUACAUCUUA